rnacentral:rRNA from 1 species
UGGGGAAUAUUGGACAAUGGGCGCAAGCCUGAUCCAGCCAUGCCGCGUGAGUGAUGAAGGCCCUAGGGUUGUAAAGCUCUUUCACCGGUGAAGAUAAUGACGGUAACCGGAGAAGAAGCCCCGGCUAACUUCGUGCCAGCAGCCGCGGUAAUACGAAGGGGGCUAGCGUUGUUCGGAUUUACUGGGCGUAAAGCGCACGUAGGCGGACUUUUAAGUCAGGGGUGAAAUCCCGGGGCUCAACCCCGGAACUGCCUUUGAUACUGGAAGUCUUGAGUAUGGUAGAGGGGAGUGGAAUUCCGAGUGUAGAGGUGAAAUUCGUAGAUAUUCGGAGGAACACCAGUGGCGAAGGCGGCUCACUGGACCAUUACUGACGCUGGGGUGCGAAAGGGUGGGGAGCAAACAGG